GCCUGGAUAGCUCCAUAGGGUAGAGCAUGGUGCUGAUAAAGCUAAGGUUGCAGGUUCGAUCCCCGUAUGAGACA